rnacentral:tRNA from 1 species
GAAUGAGAAGCGAUAUAUCGCAGUCAGUUUCGACCUGGCCUUAGGUAUAUAAUACCCUGAUUCU